UAUUGAUCAUAAGAAUAUUGAUCAUUGACUAGUUUUGGACACGUUCAAACAUAAAUAUACAAUAAACAAAAGCUUAUGAGCUGCACCUAACGCCAUUCCAUACAUUGCCUCAACAUAAGGACGAUAAAAGAGACUUCGAUCAUUGAAAUCUCAGAUUAAUAAUUUUAAAUGCAGUCAAUGUAUAACUAUAAAUCAAUCAUAACAGAAUUUCACAUUAGUGUAAUAUUGCUGUGUGGUUCUUAGAAUUCUAUUAUGUCUUCAACUAAUUAUUAGAUGGAUUCUUUUCACUAAAAUGUCCAUGAAAGAUGUGUGUUACUUGGAUAAGCCUGGAUGAUUGGAUAUCAGUAAUUAAAGAUCAAUAUUAAUACUUUGAUGGUCGUAGAGGUGCUUGUUUCGGGGCAAAGAGUCUGCCUAUUU